rnacentral:lncRNA from 1 species
CAAAAUUCCCACCGCCCUCUAUAUGAGCAUCUGGCUUAACCAUUGCAUAAAUUAUUAUCAUGCAUAAAUCACGUCGCUUCACUCAUGCUUAUCAUUCAUAAAGCAUAACAUGAAACCGUGCAAACAAGAAAAUCCAAAAAUCCAAUUUUUAUUGACUAACUCAAAGCCUAACCCUUUCUUGGAAAACCACAAAACUCUCACCACAUUACAUCCACUCUUAAUAGGCAAAUUUUAGGAUACAUUAGUAUUUAAUACUCUUCUAUCUUGAAUACCUGAAAAG